UACGGGGGGAGCAAGCGUUGUUCGGAUUUACUGGGCGUAAAGGGCGCGUAGGCGGUCAGCACAAGUCAGUUGUGAAAUCUCCGGGCUUAACUCGGAAACUGCAUUCGAUACUGCCGUGCUUGAGGACUGGAGAGGAGACUGGAAUUUACGGUGUAGCGGUGAAGUGCGUAGAUAUCGUAAGGAAGACCAGUGGCGAAGGCGAGUCCCUGGACAACUCCUGACACUGAGGCACGAAAGCUAGGGGAGCAAACAGG
rnacentral:rRNA from 1 species